AGAACGCGGGGAGGAGCGGCGGAAACUGAGGGUCUAUAAAAUACCGGCGACGUGAGCAACACUUCAGGAAUUAUUAAAGCGUUUUUAUUGAUCCUCGCUACCAUUUAGACGUGGUUUUGUUUUAUUUGUAUCUCUGUUUUUUGUUUCCUUGGUCGUAGCAUACCUCUGUAUCGAACUUCCGUCGCUAUAGAAACAUCGAUAUUUCCUUUCCGUAUUUGUGAAGGACCUGACCAGCGAUUUUAAACAUGUUUCCUGAAAGCAGCACUGGAUACUGCUAUGAGGAUUGCCAGGCCACAGCUGACUGGCUUCUGUCCCAGACUGCAGUGCGUCCUUUGGUAGGCAUCGUGUGUGGCUCAGGUUUGGGUGGACUGGCUGAUGUGUUGAAAGACCAGGUGAUCUUCAAAUACAAGGACAUCCCCAACUUCCCCCAAAGUACAGUGCACGGUCACGCAGGUCAACUAGUGUUUGGCAAUUUAAAGGGUAGAUCAUGUGUCUGCAUGCAGGGAAGGUUUCAUCUCUAUGAGGGAUAUCCCAUCCAAAAGGUACAAACACCUCAUUAUACUUGCAUCCUACCUUGUCCAAAAAAUUUUUUUUUUACCAUGUAAACAAUAUGGCUUUUUUUUUUU